UUGUAUUAUUAAAUUUAAAAAGCCAAUUGAAAGAUAGAUAGAUAGAUAGAUAGAUAGAUAGAUAGAUAGAUAGAUAGAUAGAUAGAUAGAUAUAAUUCCAACUAUGUAACUUUCUGGAAAAGACAAAACUGUAGAACAAAUCAGUAAUUGCCAGAGGGUGUGGAAGAAGCAAGGAUGAACUGGCCAAGCACAGAGGACUUUCAGAGCAAGGAAUCUACCUCUAUAAUGCUUGGCUCUCCAUGUGGAGACACCUGGCAGGCUUAGACCAUCAGCUUCAAGUCCAACAGAAAGGAAGCUCAAGUCUGACUUCCAAGAGGAAGCACUGUAACUGAAUAUGUGUCCAUCCUUGAUUGGCGGCCAGGAGAAUGGAAGCACUACAGGCCGGAGAAGUUCCCAUCCAUGAUUGACUGGCUCCAUUGUUCUGGGCCUGAGAUGGAGCAGAACAUCACAGCAGAAGUAUGGGAAGAAGGAAGCCACUCACAACAUGGCAGGCAGGAAGCAGAGAGAGACAAAGUGAGGAAGUGACAGGACAUAGUCUUCUAGAGCACAUGUCUGUAUUUCCUCCAACUAGAUACCAC